CGUCGCAGUCCGGCGACGCAUCGGUCCUCCUCCCGACAGGCGGCGUGCUUCUAAUUGCGUAUUUCAUAGCUAAUUUCAUCGUGCCGGAGUUGAUUAUGAAAUCGUACCGAUCCGAUGAGAGCGAAGAAAAUGCUCGCGCGGAAGACGGAGAAUCGGGCGCGAGUGAGGGGGAAAGCCGAGCCGGAUCGUUCGGGAGGAAGAAACAGGGCUUUGGCGGCAACAAGAGAUGACGGAACUUGAAGGCGAAGCCAUGGAAUUGUUUUGAAUUGAAUUCUGUAAGUAAAUCUCAAUCUUCUUUAACCUCUUUAGGUACUUUCUGUAUCGAGAAUUCAGAAUUGUGGUGCAGAGGAUAGGGAAUUGGGGAUCAGAUUCUGUUCUUUCUUUUGUCAUUGGAUUGAAAACAAGAUUACUGUUUGUUA